UGCCAGCCGCCGCGGUAAUACGGAGGGUCCGAGCGUUAUUCGGAAUUAUUGGGCGUAAAGGGCGCGCAGGCGGUUUUGUCCGUCAGGUGUGAAAGCUCGGGGCUCAACCCCGGAAGUGCACUUGAAACAGCAAGACUCGAAUACGGGAGAGGAGAGAGGAAUUCCUGGUGUAGAGGUGAAAUUCGUAGAUAUCAGGAGGAACACCGAUGGCGAAGGCAUCUCUCUGGGCCGAUAUUGACGCUGAGGCGCGAAGGCGUGGGUAGCGAACGGGAUUAGAUA
rnacentral:rRNA from 1 species